rnacentral:rRNA from 1 species
AUGGGUUUUGUUAAAUUGAAUGUGGAUGCUUCUUUUGAUCAUGACCAACUAAGGGGCACAACGGGGGCUGUUAUUAGGGAUGAUAGAGGAAACUUCAUUGUAGGUGGAAACAACAAGAUUGAGUGUUGUCUAGAUGCUCUGACAGCGGAAGCACUGGCACUUAGGUUUGGUUUAUAUCUGGCUCAUAAGACGGGGUGCAAUCACGCUAUUAUUAAUUCUGACAAUAUGGAAGUAAUUGACACGAUGAAGAACGGGGGUCAUUCCGCGGGACCGGCGAUUUUUAAGGAUUAUUUUUUUCUGGCUUGUGACUUUCCGGUUACUAGGUUUGAGCACUUUAAUAGAGAAGCGAACAAAGUAGCCCAUGAGCUCGCUAGAUUAGCUAAAUGUUCCAUGACUAGCGAUUGAAUUGAGGAGCCCAGGGGAAAUAUUAUACCUCUUUUGACAGAUGAUGUAACUAUUAUCUCUAAUUAA